AUUGAACGCUGGCGGCAGGCUUAACACAUGCAAGUCGAACGAGUGGCGGACGGGUGAGUAAUGUCUGGGAAACUACCUUAUGGAGGGGGAUAACUACUGGAAACUGUAGCUAAUACCGCAUACCAUCAGAUGGGCCCAGAUGGGAUUAGGUUGUUGGUGGGGUAACGGAUCACCAAGGCGACGAUCCCUAGCUGGUCUGAGAGGAUGACCAGCCACACUGGGACUGCGACAGGGCCCAGACUCUGACGGGAGGCAGCAUUGGGGAAUAUUGCACAAUGGGGGCAAGCCUGAGACAGCCAUGCCGCGUGUAUGAAGAAGGCCUUCGGGUUGUAAAGUACUUUCAGUGGGGAGGCGUUACCCGCAGAAGAAGCACCGGCUAACUCCGUGCCAGCAGCCGCGGUAAUAC
rnacentral:rRNA from 1 species